rnacentral:RNase_P_RNA from 1 species
CGAGCCAUCCGGGUGAUCGCGGCAGCGGUGAGCUGUCGAGGAAAGUCCGGGCUCCAUAGAGCAGGGUGGUGGGUAACGCCCACCCGGGGUGACCCGAGGGAAAGUGCCACAGAAACAUACCGCCGGCCAGUCGGCCGGUAAGGGUGAAAAGGUGCGGUAAGAGCGCACCGGCGGCGUGGUGACACGCCGGCCAGGCAAACCCCACCCGGAGCAAGGCCGAGUAGGGGGAGAUGAGGUGGCCCGCCGAUCCCCGGGUAGGCCGCUAGAGGCCUCCGGCAACGGAGGUCCCAGAGAGAUGGCCGCCGCACCGACCACGGUCGGUGUACAGAACCCGGCUUACAGGCUCGCUCCCUUA